rnacentral:rRNA from 1 species
CCCUUAGACGUUCUGGGCCACACGCGCGCUACACUGACACAGGCAACGAGCUUUCCUUUACCGAAAGGUAUGGGUAAUCUUUUGAAACUGUGUCGUGCUGGGGAUAGAUCCUUGCAAUUUUUGAUCUUAAACGAGGAAUUCCUAGUAAGCGCGAGUCAUCAACUCGCGUUGAUUACGUCCCUGCCCUUUGUACACACCGCCCGUCGCUACUACCGAUUGAAUGGCUUAGUGAGGCCUCAGGAUCCGCGCUUAAUGUGUGGAGAAUUUGGACAAACUACGUCAUUUAGAGGAAGUAAAAGUCGUAACA